UACGGGGGAUGCAAGCGUUAUCCGGAUUUAUUGGGUUUAAAGGGUGCGUAGGCUGUGAGGUAAGUCAGCGGUGAAAUGCCCCCGCUCAACGGGGUGAAGUGCCAUUGAUACUGCCUUGCUGGAAUGCGGAUGCCGUGGGAGGAAUGUGUGGUGUAGCGGUGAAAUGCAUAGAUAUCACACAGAACACCGAUUGCGAAGGCAGCUUACAAAUCUAUAUCGGACGCUGAGGCACGAAAGCGUGGGGAGCAAACAGG
rnacentral:rRNA from 1 species